rnacentral:lncRNA from 1 species
GGGACCAUAGGUGUGUGCCACCAUGUCUGGCUAAUUUUUGUAUUUUUUGUAGAGCGGGAGUCUCACCAUCUUGCCCAGGCUCCCUCCAGACCUUUUCUGUGCCCAGAAAUAUCCCAGCAGGUGUCUUGCAUUUGGGAACGUGCAUUGAGGAAGAAAGAUGCCUGAAUAUGGAGAGAGAAGAAGUAAAAUAAGAUCCCCACUGCAAAUAAAUCUUUUUUCUGUAGUUUUAUACAACUCUGGCAUCCAGUAAAGAGAUCUGGAGAAUCUGGGACUGUGCUUUCACAGCAUUAUUUCAUUUUGUUUCCCCAGAAACUUGAGUCUCCUAAUCAAGAUUUUCUUUCCUUUCUUAGGCAUUUCAGCUUCUCCUAUUUCUUUCUUUUUGGACUCUUUUGGAAAAACAGAGAAAUCAAACAGGAAGCUGCUGCUGGGGACUUCUGUGUUGGAUGGGAUAGUGUGGCCAGGCUCACUGUUCUACUACCUCAAACCCCAAGGUUUCAGCAUGACUCGGGGUGCAGACUCCAAAAGGACUUGUGGGAUACUGAGGCUGAAGAGUAUAAGACAGCAAGUAGUGAGGGCCCCUGAAGAAGGAACCAGAACAACAGCUUCGCAGAAAACCCAUCAGAAUAAGCAGAACAGCCUGAUGUGAAUUGGUGACUAUGCUCUCUAGACUCAAGAGAGGACCUCAGGGUUCAGCAAGCCCCCCAUCAACCUCCACUAUCAACAAAUCCUGAAUUGACAAACCAAAGACUCGUUUAGACUGACCAAUCACUUUACCUUAUGUAGCUUUGUGGCUGCUGUCUUGAUAAGCCCCUUGCCCUUGGUGGAGAGAGAUGGCCUUCCUGGGCUAUUCUCCCUCUUGUAUCUCUCUAUAUGAGUAAACCCCCAGGGCUUUACCCCAUUGUCUCUGAAUUAUUCUUUUGAUGUCUCUGAGCAUUUGCUUACUUUUAAUCACAAUAAAUCACAAUCUCAAAUAAAGAAGCACUUUGUUGAAUUUGAGCUGUUUGCAUGAGAUAG